rnacentral:lncRNA from 1 species
AUGUUUGUUAGGAUUAUGAGGAUCUCACAAUAAUAAAGGUGGUGCUAAUGUAACACUGGAAAAAUGAUUGACUUGGUUUCCUUUAUAACAUACGGUCUUAUUUUCAUUUUCUUGUAAUUAUUCUAUUUUCUUUUUUUCUUUUUCAUUUUCUUGUAAUUAUUCUUUUUUCUUUUUUUCUUUUUCAUUUUCUCUACUUAUAAUUAGUAUUUUAGCAUAUUUUUUAUUCUAUAUAACUUAUGUUAAUUGUUUAAUUAUCAGAAUAUCGAAGAUGACAUUUUAUGUUGUUAAGGAUAUAAGUAUAUAUUUAAAUAAUUUUGAUGUUCAAUACAUAUCUUUCUAAACUAAUUAAUGUCAAGGUUUGUUACUCAUUACAUGUUUGAUUGAUUUAUAUAAUUGUGGAUGUACUUAAUAUAAAUAUUUAGCUUACUAUAUCUAAUAGAAAUCUCUGGUUCAUAAUCACUUUAUAAUUGUAUAAACAAAAUACAAAUGGUAAAAAUAUACGUACUGCUGAAAAAUUGAUAUAUUUUCCUUUUUUUUCUAUAUCUUUUAUGAGUAAUUUUCUUUCUUAACUUUCAACUGUACGGUUCAAUUGGUUUCUGAUAUAAGUUAAUCUUUUGAAGUUUACACAUCUCUAACUCUCUCAUUUUGUCACUCUAUUCAUCUGUGUUUCUUCUUAUUUUCAAUUUUAGUUUUGUGUCACCAAUGAUUAUGAUAGGGUUUUCGUAUUAUUUUGAUGAGAUUGAGAUGGUUGUUAGGAUUAAUAGGAUCUCAAAAUAAUAAAGGUGGUGCUAAUGUAACACUGGAAAAAUGAUGGAGUUGGUUUCCUUUAUAACAUACGGUCUCAUUUUCAUUUUCUUGUAAUUAUUCUAUUUUCAUUUUCUUGUAAUUAUUCUUUUUUCUUUUUUUCUUUUUCAUUUUCUACUUAUAAUUAGUAUUUUAGCAUAUUUUUUAAUCUACAUAACUUAUGUUAAUUGUUU